UAAAACUAAAAUUUUGAAAAGGAAGUUAUUUGGCACGGUGCCCAUAUAUUAUAUGAGACGGGCCUGGCUGGUCACAAAGAUUUCGAUUAUGGUUGCAUCUAUUUAUUUAUAAUAAUAAAGGAGACUUUUCUCACUUCUCCUUACGCCACAUCACGAAAAAGAAGGGGGCAAACACUGCCAUAUGGCGUCUCAAAACUUUUUUCAAUAUCGAGUGUUUUCUCUAGACCUUUAGUUAAGAGGCUUGACCAAGUCAAAACCUUAUUUUCUGGCCCACAAACAAAAUAUUACUAACGAUUGAGUUCUUCCUUUCUUUGAUGCCUUAACCGUAACUUCCAUCAUAUCGUCUCCCCUCAAUUCAUAUGACGGAGUAACUCAAAGCGAUCAUGGUGGAUAAUUAAUUCAUCCCACUAUCUCCCCUGCCAUUAAGUUUUCUCACUUCUCCUUUAAACCGAAACAACUAUUUAUAUAUGUCGAGAAGGUGCUCUAGAUGAAUCACAAAGCUUCUUCAAAUCAUAAUCUAUUAUAAACCCUAGAAACAGAGCUUGCACCUAUGGCGAUUUACCAGUUCCAUUUUCCUAUUUGAAUACAUAACAUCGUAAGGAGACGUAACAUUGUAAGGAUACGAUUGUCAAACGCCUUCUUCGUUUUUGGGAGGCAAGGACAUGAAGAAAGCUGGUGAGCUUCUGGGCGUGAACCUGGUUUCUCUCGAUGCGAAGACAACGUUGAUCCAAGGGUCUAUAGGAGUUCAGAGACUCAACACUUUCAAACAUCUGCUGAAGGAAGGGUGAAUCUAUGAGCUAAGCUUAUUUGAUGCUACCAAAAGCAACAGACCCGACCAAGAUUGUGGUGCUGAUGGAGCCAAUCCCAACAGAAAAUUUCAGGUUUCCAAAAUAUGAACAGCUUAAGGUUUUGGAAAAUACAAACGUGAAUUUUCCGGGUUUGUUUAGCCACCCAGGCUUUUCCCAUUCUCUAACAUGUUUGGCUUAAACUUCUCGCAAACUUCCCGUUAGUUACCACUGUUUUCUGCAGACGUUUUUGGUGAUGUUUGUGACAUCAAGACCACCUACAACGAUGAGACUCAUGCUAUUCAACGUGUUGUGGUUACAGUCCUGAUUGACAGAAGUAUGACCGUGUAUGUUAGUGUGUUUGAUUUGGUUACAAAUUAGCUUCAUCAGAAAUUAGAGGUGGCAAGUUUGGAUCCAAAAGUCAUUGUUGCCACAAACAUAAAUCCAAAAUUAGUUGGAGGUAGGCUUUUCUUGAAUGCUACCUUGGAAUGCACUUCUAUUUUGACAACGAAUGCAUCGCUGGAAAGAGUCUUCUAGGAGCGUAAGAAAUUCCAAACUGUAACUGUUGUCUAAGAAAAUAUUUCCUUGGUUGUGUCUGAUGAUGUUAUAAGAGGAAAAUUGUUUCCUUAGUAGCAACUCCACAUCUUCUUACUUGGGUGUGCAGACAAUUGAAUCAGUAGCUUUUGCUGAGCUGAAAACCUAUGUCCUUAACUCUCCACCCCAGGUAGACCAACUUAAUUCGUACUACAACUAUUUUUUUUGUUCUUAAAUCAUGGGCAUGCUUAUAGAUUUCACCUCCUAUGGACCCUAUAGGCUGCAGAGUUUUUCUUGCACCCAAGGUUUACAUCUUAUGCUUACCAAAAACUGCAGCGUGAAUUCACCUCUUUCACUUGCACAUGCUGCAAUGUCGACAAUGUAGAUGGUGUUGUGAGGUAUUGCACUUGAACCAAAAAUAAAGACUCUUUUCCAGCCUAUACGUGGGAACCGAAAUUCGCACUGUCGAUUUCCAUUUAAAUUAGGAAACUAGGAAAACCCUAAUUUCCCAGAGGUCCCGGAUCUCUGCGAGAGCCGACGGCAAGUGACCAAAUAUAUGCGGAAAUCGUG